AUACGUAGGUGGCAAGCGUUGUCCGGAAUUAUUGGGCGUAAAGCGCGCGCAGGCGGUCCUUUAAGUCUGAUGUGAAAGCCCACGGCUCAACCGUGGAGGGUCAUUGGAAACUGGGGGACUUGAGUGCAGAAGAGGAACGUGGAAUUCCAAGUGUAGCGGUGAAAUGCGUAGAGAUUUGGAGGAACACCAGUGGCGAAGGCGACUUUCUGGUCUGUAACUGACGCUGAGGCGCGAAAGCGUGGGGAGCAAACAGGAUUAGAUACCCUGGUAGUCCACGCCGUAAACGAUGAGUGCUAAGUGUUAGGGGGUUUCCGCCCCUUAGUGCUGCAGCUAACGCAUUAAGCACUCCGCCUGGGGAGUACGGUCGCAAGACUGAAACUCAAAUGAAUUGACGGGG
rnacentral:rRNA from 1 species